GGUGCUCCUGCCACUUUAAGGGCCUGGAGCCGGCAGCCUCCAGGUGCCUGAUUGCGGCAGCCAUUUUGAGGCCUAUAUAAACCAGGCAGUUUGGCUGCAGGAGGUCAGGCAGUAACAUUGCCUGGCUUUAGGGCUGCUGUGAAUGCCUGGAGGGAAACCGCAUGUACAGCCAUGGAGGUUCAUUGCCAAUGGCUCCUGUCUGCGUGGAGAACCUGCCAUGGACCUUGGACGGGAGUGGGGAGUGGAGGUAGUCCGGAAGCAGCUGCGAUUCAUUCAGGGAGAGGGGUGGACGGGGGGCACUGCUAGAUCACCAACUAUUUUAACACCCGUCCCUCCUUGAAAACAAAAUACCGCCCUACCUUCCAGACACUCCACGCUCCCUACAGCAGCAGGCUGGCUGGGUGAGCCCUGGUGUGGAGCGAACAUUGACCUGCCCCAAGCAACAAACUUCAUGAAAAACAAACUCUCUCCAUGUAGGAUUUAGCAGCUGGAGAUUGGCAUCUCAGCAAGGAACAGCCCAGAAACUUUAUGGAUGGGGGGGAGGGGAUGGGGGGGCGUGCCCGAGACACACAAUCUAACUUGUAGCUCUUAAAGGCAGGAGGAAUGAAACAAGAUCCCUUGCCUGCCAAAAAGGGUUGUGCACAGUUUCUCUGUGGUGCCUACUCCCCCUCCCUCCCUCCAACCCCACUCCCUUCUUCCCUUCUCUGUGCCCCCCUUCUAAUCUGCUGGCCAAGAGUAAUUGGACCAUUAAAAGCAGCUUGGACAGGGGAGGGAGGAAGAGAUUCUUUGGGGAUGAGACCUUUGCUUGGAAGAGCCGAGUGGUCUCAGUAUUAAGUUAUACUCCCCUCCACUCUCAGGUUCUCUGAACUUUCUAAGCCAGAAAACAAGGAGGCCUGGCUGUGGGUGCAGCCGCAGGAAGAAUGAGGAAGAAAGCAAGUCAGAUUGGAAAUGGAAAUACAUGACCAAAUUCUACCCCAUUGAAAGCUACAGGCCUGAGUCUGCUGUCUCUGCCACCUGUGCUGCUGAACUGAUUUAAGCGAUUUCCUUCCUGAUCUAUACCAGGGAGGUGCAUGCGGAGUGCACCAGGUGUAAAUCUAGGCUGGAUUUCACUCAAAGUCUUGACAGCAGCACCUGGUGCCAUUUUGCCACCUCUCACACUGUGCCUGCUCCCUUUAUUUCUGCUGGAGGAUCGGAUGGGUGAGACAAAACAGGGGGAGGACAAAAAGGGGUGAGCUUCAGAUCAAGACCCUGAUCAUGUUUAAACCAGGGCUCUGGUGCUGUUUGGGUCUGACUGCGCCAAAAGUAAGUCAAUAAAUAAAAAUCUUGCAUGUUGAUUUCACAAGUCCUUGGCGCCCAUGGGGAAAGACGUUUGCUCCCCACUUUGGAUCCAGCGUGAGACCAAAACUCUUAAGGGCAGAACAGGGGCGGGGGGUGUUCAAAUAUAAACACAAAAGCUAAAUCUCAGCCCAGUGCAACACACUCUAAACAUGUCAGCACCAAAGGAAAUUGUAUCAGAUCCUCAGUUGGUUUCUAAUCCCACCUGAAAAGGCAGUAUGGUCUCAUGGUUAGGUUUGUGUUGUUAGGACUCUAGGCUGCAUCUACACAUACACUUUCCUGCAGAGUAGACCAUUUAGCUGUGGAGUAAAGCGUCACUAUCUACACGUGCAACAGUAUUAGGCCACAGUAAGCUAAUUUACACAGACAUAAGAUAGCACUGUUGGGGACAGUACUAUUUUACAGUGGGAUAAUUUACUGCAAUUAAAUGCAUGUGUGCAUGCUGACUGUGGGCGUAAACUGUGCCCAGUCAGCCAGGAGCCAGACUCCUGCCUGCUGUCCAGCCACAUGCACUUUCAGCACCCUCAUGCCCCAACCAGGCCCUCUGCUGCCUGACGCUGCUACCCAGAAGCUGGGACUGGCCCCCUGUGCUCCCUGCCAGCCCAGGCUUACUUCACCCUGCCUCAAAUUGUUGCUGUUCCAGGCACACAUGUAGAUGCUGCACCUGGGAGUACUUUACUCUGGCUCAAACUGCUCUGAAGUUUAUUGCUUCUCAUUAAUUGCAUAUGUAGACAUACCCUAAGAGAAAAGUGUUCUGCUCCCAGCUUUACCAUGGACCUUAGGCACAAUGCUUUCCUCACACCCUUUGUACAUCCUUUGAAUGCAGGGGCUAGAUCCUAUUCUACCUGUUAGGUACCACAAUGGACUUAGGUGCCUAGGUGCAAUCCUAUUCCACCCUAUACAAGUUCCUGAAAAUCCAUGAGUACAAGGGUGGCCAACCUGUGGCACACAUGUGAUACAUUGGAUGCCCCAGCCUCCCUGUGUGGCAUGAAGCAGAUUAAGAAGGAGAUAGUGGCAGAUAGGGCAGGGAGCUGAAAGCAGAGCAGCAUAUCAGAUGGGGGCCACAGGGCAGGAAGCAAAAAACCCAAAGCAAUACAUUGAUCGGGGAGUAUAGGGCAGGGAGCAGAAAGCAGAGAAGAGGAUCAAAGGGGAUGCAGGAGAAGGGGAUCAAAGUGGCACUUGGGGAGGGUGCAGGGCUAAUUUGAGGCAUGCCUGCCAAAACAGUGGGCCACCACUAUGCUGUAGUAGGAGCCUGGGACCCCAGUAACGAGAGUGUCCUGCGUGUCUGCCGCAUCUCCCGCCGCUACACCAAGCUGAUGUGCCUGCCUCAUGGUGUCCGACAUGAUCCACUGGUCCCAUGACAUCUACAUGGAGCACAUCACAGGCCACCGCCAGUACACGGACCCCACCAGACAGAUCAUCACUGGACUGGACCCAGAGGGGACUGUCUGAACCCCAUCUCAACCUGAUGGACUUCACUUUGAGAAGAACGUUCAGCAACAGACCACCCCGCUCCACCCGAAGAGGAGCCUCACGAUGAGACUCUAUAUGGACUGAGAAACUUUCUUCAGCCUACUUCCUCCACCAUUGCGGACCAUUGUAUGGGUUUGUGUGUAUCUAUCUUCUUUCUCUCUCAGUGUCGCGAACCCCCCCCCUUCCCCCUCCCCCACCUCCCCCAGUCCUGGACUUAGUAGGCUAACAUUGUAUUUUCUGUAACCUAGUUGUGUUCCCCUCCUCACCCCCAUCCCUCUUACGUUAGUCCCUUGCUCGGGCAAUUUGUAUUUCCCUACUGGCUUUUGUCAUCUUUUUGGAUUCAUACCUCUUAACAUCUACUAAUAAAAUUCAGUCUGUUCUA